AUAUUUGUUAUAAUUAUUAAUUUUUUGAUUUUAUUUUUAAUAGUUUUUUAUAAGAGUUGCUUUUUUUACUUUAUUAGAGCGUAAAGUUUUAGGUUAUAUUCAAUUACGUAAAGGUCCGAAUAAGUUUUUGAUUAAAGGUAUUUUUCAACCUAUAGGUGAUGGGUUAAAAUUAUUUUUUAAAGAAGUUAAUUAUCCGAGUAAUAUAAAUUUUUUUAUUUUUAUAAUUUCUCCUUUAUUGGGUUUAUUAAUUUCAAUUUUUUUUUGAUUUAUUUAUCCUUAUAUUGGUAUGAACUAUAUUAUAGGAUUUGGUUUAAUUUAUAUAUUUUGUUGUUCAAGUUUAAUAGUUUAUAUUUUUUUAAUAAUUAGAUGAUCUUCGAAUUCUAAUUAUUCAGUUUUAGGUAUAAUUCGGUUUAUUUCUCAAAUGAUUUCAUAUGAAGUUAGAAUAAUAAUUAUUAUUAUAAAUUUAAUAUUUUUAAUUAAUAGUUUUAAUUUAAAUGAUUUUUAUAUCUAUCAAAUUAAUUUAAAAUUUUUUUUUUUUUCUUUUUUUUUUGUUUAUUUUAUUAUUAAUUAGAUUUUUAGCUGAAAUAAAUCGUUCUCCUUUUGAUUUUUCUGAGGGUGAAUCAGAAUUAGUUUCUGGAUUUAAUAUUGAAUUUAGAAGUUUAUCUUUUAUUUUUAUUUUUAUAUCUGAAUAUAUAAGAAUUAUAUUUAUAGGGAUACUAUUAUGUGAAAUGUUUUUUGGUUUGAUAAUAAAUAAAUUUUAUUUAAAUAUUUUUAUUUUGAUUUUUAUAUUUAUAGUUAUUUGAUUACGUGGGUUUUUACCACGAUUUCGUUAUGAUAAAUUAAUAUAUUUAGUUUGGAAAUUAAUUUUACCUUUGUCUUUAUUUUUAUUUGUCUUUAAUUUUUCUAUUAAAUUAUUUAACUUAUAUCAUUAAUUUAAGUAUUAAGUUAAUAGAAUUAAAUUCUAUUUUUUAUUUUCAAAAUAAAUAUUUUAAAUAAAUUAAUUAACUAAAUUAAUAAUUUAUCUCAUAACUUUAUGAUAUAAAAGUUAAUGAAAAAGUAAGAAAAAUAAAUUGUUGUAAAAAUUUGCCCUGUUGUAAUAAAUGGGUAUUCAACUGGUUGUAUCCCAAUUCAGGUUAAAAUAAAAAAUGUUAUAAUAAAUAUUCAGAAUAAAAAUUUAUUUAAUGGGUAAAAUUUAUUUCUUAAAAAAUUUUUAUUGUUUAAUAUAGGUAAGAUUAAUAAAAUUAAAAUUGAAAGUAUUAAAGCAAUAACCCCUCCUAAUUUAUUAGGGAUUGCUCGUAAAAUUGAAUAAGAAAAUAAAAAAUAUCAUUCUGGUUGAAUGUGAUUUGGUGUAAUUAUUGAAUUUGCUAUAAUAAAAUUAUUGUGAUCAUUUAGUAGGUAUGGAAAAAUUAAAGCUAAAAUAAAAAAUAUUCAUAUAAAUAUGAUUAAUCCAAUUAAAUCUUUAAUUAGAAAAUAUGGAGAAAAAGUAAUUUUAUCAAAAUUUCUAUUAAUUCCUAGUGGAUUAUUAGAACCUGUUAAAUGAAGAAAGAAUAAGUGAAUAAAAGUAAAUAAAAUAAUAAUAAAUGGUAAAAUAAAAUGGAUUGAGAAAAA